UACAGAGGGUGCAAGCGUUAAUCGGAAUUACUGGGCGUAAAGGGUGCGUAGGUGGCUUGAUAAGUUGGGUGUGAAAGUCCUGGGCUUAACCUAGGGAUUGCGCUCAAUACUGUCAAGCUAGAGUACUGUAGAGGAAGGUGGAAUUUCCAGUGUAGCGGUGAAAUGCGUAGAUAUUGGAAGGAACAUCAGUGGCGAAGGCGACUUUCUGGACAGAUACUGACACUGAGGCACGAAAGCGUGGGGAGCAAACAGG
rnacentral:rRNA from 1 species